rnacentral:rRNA from 1 species
CUACGGGACGCACCAGUAGGGAAUAUUGGUAAUGGGCGAAAGCCUGAACCAGCAACGCCGCGUGCACGAUGAAGGCCUUCGGGUUGUAAAGUGCUUUUUGAGGGGAUGAAGAAGGACAGUACCCUCAGAAUAAGCCUCGGCUAACUACGUGCCAGCAGCCGCGGUAAAACGUAGGAGGCAAGCGUUAUCCGGAUUUAUUGGGCGUAAAGCGCGUGCAGGCGGUUUGACAAGUUGGAUGUGAAAGCUCCCGGCUUAACUGGGAGAGGUCGUUCAAAACUGUCAGACUAGAGAAUGGGAGAGGGAGGUGGAAUUCCGGGUGUAGUGGUGAAAUGCGUAGAUAUCCGGAGGAACACCAGUGGCGAAAGCGGCCUCCUAGACCAUUUCUGACGCUAAGACGCGAAAGCUAGGGUAGCAAACGGGAUUAGAUACCCCCGUAGUC